rnacentral:rRNA from 1 species
CUACGGGUGGCACCAGGCGCGAAACCUUUACAAUGCACGAGAGUGUGAUAAGGGGAUUCCGAGUGCUGUAGUUAAAACUGCAGCUUUUAUUGAGUUUAAAUCGCUCUUUGAAUAAGGGGUGGGUAAGACGGGUGCCAGCCGCCGCGGUAAUACCCGCGCCUCGAGUGGUAUUCACUUUUAUUGGGUUUAAAGCGUUCGUAGCCGGUCUAACAAGUUCCUGGUGAAAUUCCACUGUAAACGGUGGAGCUUGCUGGGAAGACUGUUAGACUUGGGACCGGGAGAGGGCAGAGGUACUCAUGAGGUAGGGGUAAAAUCCUGUAAUCUUAUGGGGACCACCUGUGGCGAAGGCGUCUGCCUGGAACGGGUCCGACGGUGAUGGACGAAAGCUAGGGGAGCGAUCGGGAUUAGAUACCCCAGUAGUC